rnacentral:lncRNA from 1 species
CUCGAGGGGCGGGCAGGGGCAGCCGAGCAGGGGAAGAACUGGGCCGCCUGUAGAGGGCGGGCCGAAGGUCGGCGGGAGGAUCUGACCUGGGUCAACCGAGCCGAAGGGGCCCCUUAUCCCGGCUCGCGGGGAAUAUUCUUCCUCUCGCCGCUCUCUCCACUGCCCGCAGGUGGAGGCCGCGCCAUCCGCGCCAUCCACAUCCUCGCAGGGCCCUUGGCUGGCUGCCGAGGGGCUUCCCGGGACUCCGGCCGCGCUUCCUUGGCCCGGAGCCCGGCGAGAAGGGAGUGGGGCCCCUGGAUCCUGGAGCCCUCAUGGACUGGCCCAGUGCCUGGAGCAAAUUCUGCUCCCGGCCCCGCGUAGUAUCUUCCUCCCAGGAAAUUCCCCACACUACGAGGGUCUCGGACCCGGAAAAUGUAAUGGGUUUCAGGUCCAAGAGGGAUAGUGAGUGGCUAAUGAGAUCGCUCCCAGGGUCCAGUUCCCUUUUGCAGACUGCUAAGGAGUUUGGGGCUGGGGCUGAAGUUAAAGGCAAGAACUUCUACCCUCGGGAGGCAGCCCGUUAGUCACCAACCCUCUACUUGGUCCUUUGCAAUCCUUUCCAGACCUUCUGUGGUCUCCUGUCACACAGGGCUCACCUGGGGGGACCCUGAUGGCCAGAUUCUCUUGAACAGUCUCUAGGGACAUAUUGGGUAUUGCUAUACCUUCAUCCAUUGAACAGUUUUCCAGUGGCUCCAUAAUAUGUGAUAUCACAACAGAUUGAAUGCAGAAACAGAACAAAUGAAGCAUCCAUUAACUUCGAAUGAUCAGAUGCUAGGGUGUGAGGAAUUUUCAGGCCAAAAUGCACUGGGUUAUUGUCUCCUAUUGACAGUGUGAUAUUACAGAUAACCUCUAGGAGAUCCUGAACAUAUUCAGGCUAAACCAGGCAAACAAACAUUCAGGAUGUUACCAGUGUGGAAAACCCCUAGGAGAGACAGCCAAAAUUAAGACUGAUGGAGAAAUUUCCCCCAGCAAUACCACUUAAAAAUAUGUAUUUUUUACUUUAAUUGCCUGGUAUUAAGUUUUCUGCAGGAAUACAAAUAAAAUUGCUUGUAUGGCUUUGAGAAACUACAGUUUUUUGCUAACCAUAUUCUUUGCUUGAAUGAAGAUUCUGAAUUAUAUAAAUGAAUCCUGUCUUCCUGACGUAGAUGAUUAAAUGUAGCAAAAUAGCUACGCACAGCAACUGCCUGGCUCCUUUUUGACACUAACACACCUAGGGGUCUGGUUCUGUCACUGGGGAGUGCCACAGACUCAAGUUCUACCAGAGCAGGACGCAGUGUUGUCACUCAGGAACUUGGGCUGAGCCAGCUCUAUCACAUUUCCUAUGAUCGAUCUCAUCAACCCUGAAAGGCAGGCUGGUGCCCCUGAACAGCUCCAGAUUUCAAACCUGAUCCAUCGCUUCUAAUGAGGAAUCAUAGGAACAACUAAAGCAACUUCCGUAAUACUGCACAUUGGGGGCAGGAGGAGGAAGAAGAGGAAAAAAGGAGGGAAAAAUCAACACAGAAAAUAAUUAUUGCAUAUCUCACUCCAAAUCAAACUUCCUUCAACACCAAAGGAAGGAUAUCAAGGAAUUACAUAAAGGUCAUUUAAUGACCAUGAAAUAGAAUUUUUAGAGCAACAUGACUCAGGGUAAACUUGUGAUUCGCAAUAUAAUUAGCCUUCCCUAUGGUUACAAUAGUUAAUUAAUCGGCCAAGAGUUCUGAA